rnacentral:rRNA from 1 species
GAUGAACGCUGGCGGCGUGCCUAAUACAUGCAAGUCGAGCGAACAGACGAGGAGCUUGCUCCUCUGACGUUAGCGGCGGACGGGUGAGUAACACGUGGAUAACAUACCUAUAAGACUGGGAUAACUUCGGGAAACCGGAGCUAAUACCGGAUAAUAUAUUGAACCGCAUGGUUCAAUAGUGAAAGACGGUUUUGCUGUCACUUAUAGAUGGAUCCGCGCCGCAUUAGCUAGUUGGUAAGGUAACGGCUUACCAAGGCAACGAUGCGUAGCCGACCUGAGAGGGUGAUCGGCCACACUGGAACUGAGACACGGUCCAGACUCCUACGGGAGGCAGCAGUAGGGAAUCUUCCGCAAAGGGCGAAAGCUUGACGGAGCAACGCCGCGUGAGUGAUGAAGGUCUUCGGAUCGUAAAACUCUGUUAUUAGGGAAGAACAAAUGUGUAAGUAACUAUGCACGUCUUGACGGUACCUAAUCAGAAAGCCACGGCUAACUACGUG